UCACCUCCGCAGGCUGGCGGCCCCCAGGCUGGGCGGGGCGGGUAUCUCUUCGAAAGGCUUCCCCUCAAGCACAACGAGGAGC
rnacentral:pre_miRNA from 1 species